rnacentral:lncRNA from 10 species
CCUAGAAUGAAGAAACCUGCAGUUGGGAAGCAUGAAUUUACCACCUAUUAAGGAACUGGUGAAGAUUUCCCCAGCAAAAAGUAGAAGCUCAGUGUUUCAUAGAUGAAGACUGGGGAGAUUGCAAAAGACCCAUCCAGAGUCUCACUUUGUCGCCCAGGCUGGAGUACAGUGGUGCGAUCUUGGCUCUCUGCAACCUCUGCCUCCCAGGUUCAAGUAAUUCUCCUGCCUCAGCCUCCCGAGUAGCUGGUACUACAGGCACACAUUUGUAGAGAUGGUGUUUCCCCAUGUCAUCCAGGCUGGUCUGGAACUCCUGGGAUCAAGUAAUCCACCCGCCUCGGCCUCCCAAAGUGCUGGGAUUACAGACGUGAGCCACCACGCCCUGCCAAUAAAAAGAUUAUCUCCAGAUGCUGGAAUGACCACCUACUUCAUGCUUUGAACAGAAGAGUUUUAUCAGUUUUAAAUGUUUCUUCAUUUCUAUACCUUCUUUUAUCUGAGGAGCUUAAGCCAUUUUGUAGAGGCAUUAAGUAUUGCCUCAGUCUUAAUAUGUGAGACAAGGUGUGAGGAAUAUAGAGAUUCAUAAAAUAAUCCCCAUCUUCAAGGAACUCACAGUCAGGAAGAACAGAGCCUGCAACACAAAUAAUUGCAAUAUAGUAGAAGUGCCAAUAGGAGCUCUAUGAAGGGCGUGAAACAGGAAAGGCUACAUAGAGGAGAUGGCAGACACUCUGUGGAUUGUGACCUGUUGGUGGGCCAUGAAAUCAAUUUGGGGGUUUGAGAGCAUCAUUCUUUUAAUAAAACAGAAGAGAAUCAUCUGCAAUAAGGAACCCAUGGAUGAAUACCAUCUGGUCCUGGUGAUUUACUGCACAGAGUCCCUCAAGUUGCUCCAUACCUUUCUCCUGAGAGACUGAAGAAUCUCUGUCAAGGCCGUUCUCUGCUUUGCCAUAAAAUGUGUCCUUGGAACAAGAAUUUCCCCAUUGUCUUCUUCAAUAAAUACUGAUUCAAAGUAUUCAUUUAGCUGUUCC